rnacentral:rRNA from 1 species
UACGUAGGGCGCAAGCGUUGUCCGGAAUUAUUGGGCGUAAAGAGCUCGUAGGCGGUUUGUCGCGUCUGUCGUGAAAGCUUGGGGCUUAACCCCAAGUCUGCGGUGGAUACGGGCAGACUAGAGGCAGGUAGGGGAGAACGGAAUUCCCGGUGUAGCGGUGAAAUGCGCAGAUAUCGGGAGGAACACCGGUGGCGAAGGCGGUUCUCUGGGUAGAUACUGACGCUGAGGUGCGAAAGCGUGGGGAGCAAACAGG